rfam:Homo sapiens chromosome 20, GRCh38 reference primary assembly.
CCGUCCGGCAUCCCAGGCGGGGCGCCGCGGGACCUCCCUCGUGUCUGUGGUGGUGAGAUCCCAUGGCCGUGUUUUCCUGGUGGCCCAGCC